GGUCCAUUAGUCUAGGGGUUAGGACAUUCGGUUUUGAUUACGCAAUGAAAUUCCGAAAGACAUCAGUUCGAAUCUGGUAUGGACCU